AUUUGUUAGGGAGCAUGGGUUGGGUUCAAACUCAUAAUUCUGUCCUCGUUUCCUUCGUAUCUUGUCUUUAAGAGAACAGAGUGACUAGAGAAAUGGCUUAGUGGUUAAGAACACUAAAAGCUGUGGGAGCCAGGUCCGUGAUGAUGCAAAGCUAUCUGUGCCUGAAGGCCUUUCUGUGUGAGUGGGUGCCUGGCACACUCUGCAUGAGUUAACCUUUUGUGUUUCCUUACCUACAGGGGGAGGCUGAACCAUAGUUUCUGGGCCUUCAAGGGGUGUUGCUGCAGCCACGGGGGCAGCCCUCCUGCGCCUGGACUUCUGCCUGCGAGCAGAGGAGCUUCCACACACAGCUCGUCAGAGCAUCCGUGCUUCUGCGCUAAGUGGCAGAUUCCAGGACGGCUCCAGGGGGCAUCAUCGAAAGGCGUGGCACAUCAGGGCCUUCAGGAUGGCUGCGUCCUGGUAAGAGCGUCUUUAUAGAACCGCAGGGGCUGUGUUUGCUGGGAAGGGUUGGUGGUUAGAUUUGGGGUCGUAUGUGGUGGAGGGUGGAGUGUGUCUCUUCCUCCUUUUAGAGUCUCACUGUACAGCCCUUGCUAUCCUGCAACUUGCUAAGUAGACCUGGUUGACCUCAAACUCAGUUUGUGGCUUUCCAGAUGCUGAGAUUAAAGGCAUGUGCCACCGUGCCUGCCUUUUGUGGUUUAUGUUCUCAUUGUGUCCC
rnacentral:lncRNA from 1 species